UGCUCUUCCUAUCUUGCCAUGGCAUGGAUUUUACCCGUGACAAAAUGUGUUCCAUGGUCAAAAAAUGGCAGACAAUGAUUGAAGCCCAUGUUGAUGUCAAGAGUACCGAUGGUUACUUGCUUCGUCUGUUCUGUGUUGGUUUUACUAAAAAACACAACAAUCAGUUAUGGAAGACCUCUUAUGCUCAGCACCAACAAGUCUGCCAAAUCCGGAAGAAGAUGAUGGAAAUCAUGACCUGAGAGGUGCAGACAAAUGACUUGAAAGAAGUGGUCAAUAAAUUGAUUCCACACAGCAUUGGAAAAGACAUAGAAAAGGCUUGCCAAUCUAUUUAUCCUCUCCAUGAUAUCUUCGUUAGAAAAGUAAAAAUGCUGAAGAAGCCCAAGUUUGAAUUGGGAAAACUCAUGGAGCUUCAUGGUGAAGGCAGUAGUUCUGGAAAAGCCACUGGGGAUGUGACAGGUGCUAAAAUUGAACGAGCUGAUGGAUAUGAACCACCAGUCCAAGAAUCUGUUUAAAGUUCAGACUUAUAAUAGUGGCAAAUAAAAAGCCUUAUUUGUG